rnacentral:rRNA from 1 species
UACGUAGGGGGCAAGCGUUGUCCGGAAUCAUUGGGCGUAAAGAGCGCGUAGGCGGCCCUGUAAGUCCGCUGUGAAAGUCAAGGGCUCAACCCUUGAAUGCCGGUGGAUACUGCAGGGCUAGAGUCCGGAAGAGGCGAGUGGAAUUCCUGGUGUAGCGGUGAAAUGCGCAGAUAUCGUAAGGAAGACCAGUGGCGAAGGCGGGUCUCUGGACAGUUCCUGACGCUGAGGCACGAAGGUCAGGGGAGCAAACGGG